rnacentral:rRNA from 1 species
UGGGGAAUAUUGCACAAUGGGCGAAAGCCUGCUGCAGCGACGCCGCGUGAGGGAUGACGGCCUUCGGGUUGUAAACCUCUUUCAGCAGGGACGAAGCGCAAGUGACGGUACCUGCAGAAGAAGCACCGGCUAACUACGUGCCAGCAGCCGCGGUAAUACGUAGGGGGCAAGCGUUGUCCGGAAUUACUGGGCGUAAAGAGUUCGUAGGCGGUUUGUCGCGUCGUUUGUGAAAACCAGCAGCUCAACUGCUGGCUUGCAGGCGAUACGGGCAGACUUGAGUCCUGCAGGGGAGACUGGAAUUCCUGGUGUAGCGGUGAAAUGCGCUGAUAUCAGGGGGAACACCGGUGGCGAAGGCGGGUCUCUGGGCAGUAACUUACGCUGAGGAACGAAAGCGUGGGUAGCGAACAGG